GAGAAAUCAUCUGACUUGUUCAUGGUCACACAGAACCCAAUUCUGUCGCAUUGCAAGUACCCGGUUUUUCCGCCAUUCCACCUCACAAGUAUUAGUAUGUACAUAUAUUACUAUAACUUGUUUGAGCUAGAAAAGAAAAGAAGAAAUUCCCGCAUGAGAGAACAGAGGGCCUCAGAAAUACCUGUUAUUUCUGAAUUCUCACUGCAAAAUUUCCCCAGCUCAGUACACAGCAAACGGUUUGCCCUUGAAGCUGCACCCCAGCGUGUGAGGCACCCUGUUGCAAAAUCAAUAAAUGGCUUUACUUCAAUGUGACCAGGUUACACAUUUGCUUGCUCUCCUAGCAUUACGUGUUUGCUUUUUCCAUCGAUUAUUAAUACUACUGCAAUUCAAAUUAAUGGGUUUAUAAUCUAUCCCCAAAGGGCUUAUAGACUAAGACAAACAAUAGCGUAAUGAGCUCGCCACGUCUAAGGUGCACUUUGCAUACUUUUCUCAUGGAAGCUCCACAUCUCUUUGCUGUAGGCAAGCCGACUUCAGAGGUCAUCUCUUCAUCCAUGCUGGUGAGCACUUGGAAGGAGAGCAUGAACUAAUGACCAUCCGAUCCGUGGCAGGCUGCAGAACAGAACGUGAGGGAGAAAGGAGCUGUAGAUGCUUUCUUAAGUGACCUGCAGAAAAAGGGAGGCUCUUGGGCCUGAAGUUUAAAGAAAUAAGUGAAGGAGGUCAAAAGGAAGAUCAGCCCUGAGCUAACAUCUGCUGCCAAUCCUCCUCUUUUUGCUGAGGAAGCCUGGCCCUGAGCUAACAUCUGUGCUCAUCUUCCUCUACUUUAAAUGUGGGACACCUACCACAGCAUGGCUUGCCAAGCAGUGCCAUGUCUGCAUCCAGGAUCCAAACCGGUGAACCCUGGGCUACCAAAGUGGAACGUGCGCACUAACCAUGGUGCAACCUGGCCAGCCCCUCCUUCUCCAUUUUUAGUAGAUUAAUAGCAAAUCACCUACUUCUUGUAUAAUUCUCAAACAAGGCCAAAAAAUAAA
rnacentral:lncRNA from 1 species